rnacentral:rRNA from 1 species
CCCUUAGAUAUCCGGGGCUGCACGCGCGCUACACUGAAGGAAUCAGCGUGCUAAAACCAUUGUCGAAAGGCAUUGGUAAACCCAUUAAAAUCCUACGUGAUUGGGAUCGGGAAUUGCAAUUAUUUCCCUUGAACGAGGAAUUCCCAGUAAGUGUGGGUCAUAAGCUCGCGUUGAUUACGUCCCUGCCCUUUGUACACACCGCCCGUCGCUGCCCGGGACUGAGCCGUUUCGAGAAAAGCGGGGACUGCUGCUGUCGGGGCUUUCGGGCCUUGGCUUCGGUGGAAACCGCUUUAAUCGCAGUGGCUUGAACCGGGCAAAAGUCGUAACA